UUCAUAAUUAUAGCGCCCGAACUAAGCAGACGGACAAGAGCUUAGUUGACGAGGAUGGAGGUUUAUCGAAGUAUUCGGCGGAUGCCUCCCGGCUGAUUUCAGAUCACAGCCGAAAAGAAUUUCUUUAAACCAAAGAGGCGACUCUUUGAACAAAGGGAAAUUGCAUGAUCUGA
rnacentral:ncRNA from 1 species